rnacentral:rRNA from 1 species
AUUGAACGCUGGCGGCAUGCCUUACACAUGCAAGUCGAACGGUAACGCGGGGCAACCUGGCGACGAGUGGCGAACGGGUGAGUAAUGUAUCGGAACGUGCCCAGUUGUGGGGGAUAACUGCUCGAAAGAGCAGCUAAUACCGCAUACGACCUGAGGGUGAAAGCGGGGGAUCGCAAGACCUCGCGCAGUUGGAGCGGCCGAUAUCAGAUUAGGUAGUUGGUGGGGUAAAGGCUCACCAAGCCAACGAUCGGUAGCUGGGCUGAGAGGACGACCAGCCACACUGGGACUGAGACACGGCCCAGACACCUUGGGGAGGCAGCAGUGGUGAAUGUUGGACAGUGGGCGCAAGCCUGAUCCAGCCAUGCCGCGUGCGGGAAGAAGGCCCUCGGGUUGUAAACCGCUUUUGUCAGGGAAGAAAAGACUCCUGUUAAUACCGGGGGUUCAUGACGGUACCUGAAGAAUAAGCACCGGCUAACUACGUGCCAGCAGCCGCGGUAA